UACGAAGGGGGGCUAGCGUUGCUCGGAAUCACUGGGCGUAAAGCGCACGUAGGCGGCUUUUUAAGUCAGGGGUGAAAUCCUGGAGCUCAACUCCAGAACUGCCUUUGAUACUGAGAAGCUUGAGUCCGGGAGAGGUGAGUGGAACUGCGAGUGUAGAGGUGAAAUUCGUAGAUAUUCGCAAGAACACCAGUGGCGAAGGCGGCUCACUGGCCCGGUACUGACGCUGAGGUGCGAAAGCGUGGGGA
rnacentral:rRNA from 1 species